rnacentral:lncRNA from 1 species
ACCAUGGCUGAAAACAUGCCGUGGAAAAUAGAUUCCGACAUUGAAAAUGGUCUGCCUUUGUGACUUAUUUAUGGUAAUAGAAAAACUUAGUCUAAUGGGAAACUGUUUUCUACUAAGCACAAAGGGAAGUCAUGAACUCACAUUUGUUUUUCAUUUAAUUCUGGACAAAAAUGCUCUUUUUCCAGCAUUGCUUCCUGUUAGGAUUUCCACAUUCAACAUAUUCUUAAAUAAACCACGACAUAAAAUCGCGUUCCAUUACACAGGCCAUAUCUAGGGUCUAUGUUUCGCAACAACAUCAAAGGUGCACCUUUUUUUACCUUUAAAAUAUGUGAUGGGAAUCUUCCUUUAGCAGUUGAGUUUAAAAAUUCAUGUUGAUAUAAGUUAUGAGUAUUCCCUUCAACCUCGUUAAAUGACAACAAAUUAUGUUAUUCUCCUGGAAACUAAUUGAUAAUUAUGUCAUUCAAUUUUUGAACAUCAUCAUUUGUAGGUGUAAUUAUGGCUCUUUCAACCAUAUAUAAAUUAUGAUAUUACUCCUCGCCUAUGAAUCACAUACAUUCGUCAUAUUAGAUGUGUCUGAACACGUGUUGCAUCCGUAUCCACUAAUAUAAUUACCCUAAAUUAUAUGAUUUUAUCAAAUUAGCAACGUUAUUGGCGUGUCAGUAUCCGUGUUGUAUCUGGUGUCGGUGUUCGUAUCCAUACUCUUAGCGGUCUUCUCUUUUUAUGGUCUCUCAAAUGGUGGCUUGAAAGUAACUAAUAACAAAAGAUGGUGGUUUGAAGCUUUCUAGUGUUUCUGUUUUUAGUUGCAGGUAACAUGAGUGUAAUUAUCGUUUAACAAUUUUGAAU